UUGUCUUUUAAAUAAAGACCUGUAUGAACGGCUAAAUGAGGAUAAACCUGUCUCUUAUAGCUAAUCAGUGAAACUGAUCUUCCAGUACAAAAGCUGGAAUAUAAACAUAAGACGAGAAGACCCUGUGGAGCUUAAAACAAGCCGCUAAACUAACAUCAAAACGUUUUAGCGCACGUUUUCAGUUGGGGCGACUUCGGAACAAAACAAAACUCCCGAGAGCAGAGCCAUGAACCUCUAACCAAGGCCAACAAGCCAAAGCACAAAACUGACCCGGCCAAGCCGAUCAACGAACCAAGUUACCCCAGGGAUAACAGCGCAAUCUUCUUCGAGAGCCCCUAUCAACAAGAAGGUUUACGACCUCGAUGUUGGAUCAGGACACCCAGAUGGUGCAGCCGCUAUUAAAGGUUCGUUUGUUCAACGAUU
rnacentral:rRNA from 1 species